GAAUGCUGACAUAAGUAACGAUAAAGCGGGUGAAAAGCCCGCUCGCCGGAAGACCAAGGGUUCCUGUCCAACGUUAAUCGGGGCAGGGUGAGUCGACCCCUAAGGCGAGGCCGAAAGGCGUAGUCGAUGGGAAACGGGUUAAUAUUCCCGUACUUGGUGUUACUGCGAAGGGGGGACGGAGAAGGCUAUGUUGGCCGGGCGACGGUUGUCCCGGUUUAAGCGUGUAGGUGUGUGUUCCAGGUAAAUCCGGUUCACUUUAACACUGAGGCGUGACGACGAGGCACUACGGUGCUGAAGCAACAAAUGCCCUGCUUCCAGGAAAAGCCUCUAAGCAUCAGGUAACAUCAAAUCGUACCCCAAACCGACACAGGUGGUCAGGUAGAGAAUACCAAGGCGCUUGAGAGAACUCGGGUGAAGGAACUAGGCAAAAUGGUGCCGUAACUUCGGGAGAAGGCACGCUGACACGUAGGUGAAGUGAUUUACUCAUGGAGCUGAAGUCAGUCGAAGAUACCAGCUGGCUGCAACUGUUUAUUAAAAACACAGCACUGUGCAAACACGAAAGUGGACGUAUACGGUGUGACGCCUGCCCGGUGCCGGAAGGUUAAUUGAUGGGGUCAGCGCAAGCGAAGCUCCUGAUCGAAGCCCCGGUAAACGGCGGCCGUAACUAUAACGGUCCUAAGGUAGCGAAAUUCCUUGUCGGGUAAGUUCCGACCUGCACGAAUGGCGUAAUGAUGGCCAGGCUGUCUCCACCCGAGACUCAGUGAAAUUGAACUCGCUGUGAAGAUGCAGUGUACCCGCGGCAAGACGGAAAGACCCCGUGAACCUUUACUAUAGCUUGACACUGAACAUUGAGCCUUGAUGUGUAGGAUAGGUGGGAGGCUUUGAAGCGUGGACGCCAGUCUGCGUGGAGCCGACCUUGAAAUACCACCCUUUAAUGUUUGAUGUUCUAACGUGGACCCGUAAUCCGGGUUGCGGACAGUGUCUGGUGGGUAGUUUGACUGGGGCGGUCUCCUCCUAAAGAGUAACGGAGGAGCACGAAGGUUGGCUAAUCCUGGUCGGACAUCAGGAGGUUAGUGCAAUGGCAUAAGCCAGCUUGACUGCGAGCGUGACGGCGCGAGCAGGUGCGAAAGCAGGUCAUAGUGAUCCGGUGGUUCUGAAUGGAAGGGCCAUCGCUCAACGGAUAAAAGGUACUCCGGGGAUAACAGGCUGAUACCGCCCAAGAGUUCAUAUCGACGGCGGUGUUUGGCACCUCGAUGUCGGCUCAUCACAUCCUGGGGCUGAAGUAGGUCCCAAGGGUAUGGCUGUUCGCCAUUUAAAGUGGUACGCGAGCUGGGUUUAGAACGUCGUGAGACAGUUCGGUCCCUAUCUGCCGUGGGCGCUGGAGAACUGAGGGGGGCUGCUCCUAGUACGAGAGGACCGGAGUGGACGCAUCACUGGUGUUCGGGUUGUCAUGCCAAUGGCACUGCCCGGUAGCUAAAUGCGGAAGAGAUAAGUGCUGAAAGCAUCUAAGCACGAAACUUGCCCCGAGAUGAGUUCUCCCUGAGACUUAGAGUCUCCUGAAGGAACGUUGAAGACGACGACGUUGAUAGGCCGGGUGUGUAAGCGCAGCGAUGCGUUGAGCUAACCGGUACUAAUGAACCGUGAGGCUUAACCUUACAACGCCGAAG
rnacentral:rRNA from 1 species